UUCUGGAUGUAAAUUGACCAGAGUACUAUGAAUAUGAAAAAUUUAAAACUCAAAGAACUUGGCGGUGUUUUAGACCACUUAGGGGAACCUGUCUCAUAAUCGAUAAUCCACGUUAUACCUGACCUUUUUUUGUUAUCAGUUUGUAUACCGUUGUCGUCAGGUAACUUUUUAGAAUUUAGAAGUUAGCAAUUAAGAAAAUAAUCCGUUACGUCAAAUCAAGGUGCAGCUAAUAGAAAGGGGAGGAUGGGUUACAAUUAUAAAUCAUAAUAACGGAAGGUGGACUUAAAAGUAAAUUAAACAUAAGCAAUUUGAAUAAGGCUCUGAAACGCGU
rnacentral:rRNA from 1 species